CCUACGGGGGACAGCAGUAGGGAAUAGUGCUCAAUGGGGGAAACCCUGAAGCAGCAACGCCGCGUGGAGGAUGAAGGUUUUCGGAGUGGAAAAUCCUUUUGUUAGAGAAGAGAAUGACGGUAGCUAAGGAAUAAGCACCGGCGAACUCCGUGCCAGCAGCCGCGGUAAUACGGAGGGUGCAAGCGUUCCUCGGAAGCACUGGGCGUCAAGAGGGCGGAGGCGGGAUAGCAAGUCAGAUGUGAAAUCCUAUGGCUUCACCCUAGAACUGCAUUUGAAACUGUUAUUCUAGAGUAUGGGAGAGGUAGUUGGUAUUCUUGGUGUCGUGGUCCAAUCCGUAGAGAUCCCGAGGACUACUCAUUGCGACGGCGACCUGCUAGAACCUACCUGACGCUGCUGCGC
rnacentral:rRNA from 1 species